CACGGCCCGGCGGCCUCGCCCAGGGCUGUGGAAGGAGGCGGGGGCCACCGCUACCGCCUCAUCUCCCCCGCCGCUAGGAUUUACCUGGCCGGGGAGCCCGCGCUGCCCGGACUGCCCCCACCGGCGCCGCGCUUCCAGCGAUCAGGGUGACGGGCCACUGAGCGAAGCCCUCGCCCGGCAGCCGCUACACCUCUCCAACUCCCUCAGAGUCUGGCGCUGGAGGCCGCCAUCUUAGCUCCGGCAGCGAGACCGCCCUCUCGACGCAGACGCCGUCAGACCCGGGCCCGUCACGGGACACGCAUUGUGAGGGUGAGCACUUCAGACCAAAAUGGCCAUAUGACUCAGACUUGGGCCAGCACUUGCUCCUAUUGUU
rnacentral:lncRNA from 1 species